UCAACUGGAGCUUUUCCAGGAUGCCUGCGUUCUUCACUGGAUAUUAGCUGCAAUAAUCAGUCAUGAAUGCCUGCAUCACUGUGCUGAGACCUGUGUCUGAUAGGAUAGGACACCAUCUUCUGGCAGGUUGCAACUGGGAGUGUUUUAAUGGCACCACAACAGAGUGGAACAGAGGGCUUGAAGGCCAGAAAACAGAAACUUGGGCUUUGAGGCACUCUGAGGAGGCACUGGGGACAGAAGACUCUGAUGUCUCCUUCCAGACAGCUCUGCAGGUGUCACUGAGCAGUGAGAAAUGGAGAACCAAGACUGAUGUUGGAGCUGACACAUAACGCUGUGGCUGGAUCCAAAAAACACAAGACAUUAAUUCUUGGAGAUCUCAAGAAAACAGAGCUGGAGUAUCAGCUGACUUAAAGAAACCUUGGCAAAAGGAAGGCUGACACACACUGCAAACACAAAAGCUGGAGACUGUGCUUUGCUGGGAGCAACCUUUCAUACUACAAAACACUUUUCUAAUAUCAGUCUUUUUAUGACUGAAUCUGAUGAUGGCAGUGGUUGUUUUCUUCACAGUUCACGGAGAAUGGUCAUCAAAAAAUACCCAACUUUUCCUCAUGA